GAUGAACGCUGGCGGCGUGCUUAACACAUGCAAGUCGAACGGUGAAGCCGGAGCUCGCUCUGCUGGUGCAGUGGCGAACGGGUGAGUAACACGUGAGAAAUCUGCCCGUGACUCUGGGAUAAGCGCUGGAAACGGCGUCUAAUACGGGAUAUGAGCUGUGAAGCCACCUUCAGCUGCUGGAAAGAAUGGCGGUCAGGGAUGAGCUCGCGGCCUAUCAGCUUGUUGGUGAGGUGAUGGCUCAGGAAGGCGUCGACGGGUAGCCGGCCUGAAAGGGGGACCGGCCACACUGGGACUGAGACACGGCCCAGACUCCUACGGGAGGCAGCGGUGGGGAAUGUUGCACAAUGGGCGCAAGGCUGCUGGAGCGACGCCGCGUGAGGGACGGUGACCUUCGGGUUGUAAACCUCUUUCAGCAGGGAAGGAGCGAUAGUGACGGUACCUGCAGAAAAAGCGCCGGCUAACUACGUG
rnacentral:rRNA from 1 species